rnacentral:tRNA from 1 species
UCCCUGGUGUUUCAGUGGUUAAGAAUCUGCUUUGCAAUGCAGGGGAUACAGGUUUAAUCCCUGGCCAGGGAA